UGUCAGGAGUUAUGAAAUGCCGGUGGGGGAAAUCCUGUCGGCUUGACAAAGGCCCAGGAGGAAGCCACGGCUAACUUCGUGCCAGCAGCCGCGGUAAUACGAAGGUGGCAAGCGUUGUUCGGAAUCACUGGGCAUAAAGGGCGUGUAGGCGGUCCGGUAAGUCGGUAGUGAAAGCCCUCGGCUCAACCGGGGAAGUGCUGCCGAUACUGCCGGACUCGAGAGCGGGAGGGGAGAGUGGAACUUCUGGUA
rnacentral:rRNA from 1 species